UGAAAGAUAGCCCUGACAGUUUGAUUUCCC
rnacentral:piRNA from 1 species